rnacentral:rRNA from 1 species
CGGUAAAAGCUCAAAUUUGAAAUCUGGCUCUUUUAGAGUCCGAAUUGUAAUUUGUAGAAGAUGCUUCGGGUGUGGUUCCGGUCUAAGUUCCUUGGAACAGGACGUCACAGAGGGUGAGAAUCCCGUACGUG